CGUAGGUGAACCUGCGGAAGGAUCAUUAUUGAAUGAAACACUUCUGGCUUUAUGCUGUUGUGCUGGCCCUUUGGGCAAUGUGCACACGGCUCUGGUCACUUGUUUCUUCUGUUCCACCUGUGCACUGCCUGUAGACACGCUGUGUCUAUGAUAUUUGUUAACACACAACAAUGUUAGUUGGCAUGUUAUAUAUAAUAAUAAAAUAUACAACUUUCAACAACGGAUCUCUUGGCUCUC
rnacentral:misc_RNA from 1 species